rnacentral:rRNA from 1 species
AUCUUCCACAAUGGGCGCAAGCCUGAUGGAGCAACGCCGCGUGAGUGAAGAAGGAUUUCGGUUAGUACCACUCUGUUGUAUGGGAAGGACAAGUACAGGAGUAACUGGCUGUACCUUGACGGUACCUUAUUAGAAAGCCACGGCUAACUACGCGCCAGCAGCCGCGGUAAUACGUAGGUGGCAAGCGUUGUCCGGAAGUAUUGGGCGUAAAGCGCGCGCAGGUGGUUUCUUAAGACUGAUGUGAAAGCCCACGGCUCAACCGUGGAGGGUCAUUGGAAACUGGGAGACUUGAGUGCAGAAGAGGAUAGUGGAAUUCCAAGUGUAGCGGUGAAAUGCGUAGAGAUUUGGAGGAACACCAGUGGCGGAGGAGACUAUCUGGUCUGUAACUGACACUGAGGCGCGAAAGCGUGGGGAGCAAACA